UUGAACGCUGGCGGAAUGCUUUACACAUGCAAGUCGAGCGGCAGCGCGGGGCAACCUGGCGGCGAGCGGCGAACGGGUGAGUAACAUAUCGGAACGUACCCUAUCGUGGGGGAUAACACAUCGAAAGAUGUGCUAAUACCGCAUACGCCCUGAGGGGGAAAGUGGGGGAUCGCAAGACCUCACGUUAUUCGAGCGGCCGACGUCUGAUUAGCUAGUUGGUGGGGUAAAGGCUCACCAAGGCGACGAUCAGUAGCGGGUCUGAGAGGAUGAUCCGUCACACUGGAACUGAGACACGGUCCAGACUCCUACGGGAGGCAGCAGUGGGGAAUUUUGGACAAUGGGCGAAAGCCUGAUCCAGCCAUGCCGCGUGCAGGAUGAAGGCCUUCGGGUUGUAAACUGCUUUUGUACGGAACGAAAAGACUCCUUCUAAUAAAGGGGGCUCAUGACGGUACUGUAAGAAUAAGCACCGGCUAACUACGU
rnacentral:rRNA from 1 species